UGGUCUACUUUCAACUUCU
rnacentral:siRNA from 1 species